rnacentral:rRNA from 1 species
UACGUAGGGGGCAAGCGUUGUCCGGAUUUAUUGGGCGUAAAGAGCGUGUAGGCGGUUUGGUAGGUCCGUUGUGAAAACUCGAGGCUCAACCUCGAGACGCCGAUGGAAACCAUCAGACUAGAGUCCGGAAGAGGAGAGUGGAAUUCCUGGUGUAGCGGUGAAAUGCGCAGAUAUCAGGAGGAACACCCGUGGCGAAAGCGGCUCCCUGGGACGGUACUGACGCUGAGACGCGAAAGCGUGGGGAGCAAACAGG